rnacentral:tRNA from 1 species
GCAGCUUAGUGGUAGAGCAUCUGCUUUGGACGCAGAAUGUCCUAGAUUCAUUCCCCAGGCA